GGGUUGUGAGGUUAAGCGACUAAGCGUACACGGUGGAUGCCCUGGCAGUCAGAGGCGAUGAAGGACGUGCUAAUCUGCGAUAAGCGUCGGUGAGGUGAUAUGAACCGUUAUAACCGGCGAUUUCCGAAUGGGGAAACCCAGUGUGUUUCGACACACUAUCAUUAACUGAAUCCAUAGGUUAAUGAGGCGAACCGGGGGAACUGAAACAUCUAAGUACCCCGAGGAAAAGAAAUCAACCGAGAUUCCCCCAGUAGCGGCGAGCGAACGGGGAGGAGCCCAGAGCCUGAAUCAGUGUGUGUGUUAGUGGAAGCGUCUGGAAAGGCGCGCGAUACAGGGUGACAGCCCCGUACACAAAAAUGCACAUAUUGUGAGCUCGAUGAGUAGGGCGGGACACGUGGUAUCCUGUCUGAAUAUGGGGGG
rnacentral:rRNA from 1 species